rnacentral:rRNA from 1 species
AUGCAGUCGACGAUGAUCAGGAGCUUGCUUCUGUGAUUAGUGGCGAACGGGUGAGUAACACGUGAGUAACCUGCCCCUGACUCUGGGAUAAGCGUUGGAAACGACGUCUAAUACUGGAUACGACUUCCGGCCGCAUGGUCUGGUUGUGGAAAGAUUUUUUGGUUGGGGAUGGACUCGCGGCCUAUCAGCUUGUUGGUGAGGUAAUGGCUCACCAAGGCGACGACGGGUAGCCGGCCUGAGAGGGUGACCGGCCACACUGGGACUGAGACACGGCCCAGACUCCUACGGGAGGCAGCAGUGGGGAAUAUUGCACAAUGGGCGAAAGCCUGAUGCAGCAACGCCGCGUGAGGGAUGACGGCCUUCGGGUUGUAAACCUCUUUUAGUAGGGAAGAAGCGAAAGUGACGGUACCUGCAGAAAAAGCACCGGCUAACUACGUGCCAGCAGCCGCGGUAAUACGUAGGGUGCAAGCGUUGUCCGGAAUUAUUGGGCGUAAAGAGCUCGUAGGCGGUUUGUCGCGUCUGCUGUGAAAUCCCGAGGCUCAACCUCGGGCUUGCAGUGGGUACGGGCAGACUAGAGUGCGGUAGGGGAGAUUGGAAUUCCUGGUGUAGCGGUGGAAUGCGCAGAUAUCAGGAGGAACACCGAUGGCGAAGGCAGAUCUCUGGGCCGUAACUGACGCUGAGGAGCGAAAGCAUGGGGAGCGAACAGGAUUAGAUACCCUGGUAGUCCAUGCCGUAAACGUUGGGCGCUAGAUGUAGGGACCUUUCCACGGUUUCUGUGUCGUAGCUAACGCAUUAAGCGCCCCGCCUGGGGAGUACGGCCGCAAGGCUAAAACUCAAAGGAAUUGACGGGGGCCCGCACAAGCGGCGGAGCAUGCGGAUUAAUUCGAUGCAACGCGAAGAACCUUACCAAGGCUUGACAUACACCGGAAACGGCCAGAGAUGGUCGCCCCCUUGUGGUCGGUGUACAGGUGGUGCAUGGUUGUCGUCAGCUCGUGUCGUGAGAUGUUGGGUUAAG